AGGAGGAACAACCCCAGUGGCGGGGCCAGCUCUGGAAACCUGGAUUCAGCCCCCGCAGGAACUCCGGAGCUCUCCGUCUGCAGGGCCUGGAGGCUCCGGGGCGGG
rfam:Canis lupus familiaris chromosome 34, whole genome shotgun sequence.